rnacentral:rRNA from 1 species
AUUGAACGCUGGCGGCAUGCCUUACACAUGCAAGUCGAACGGCAGCACGGGAGCAAUCCUGGUGGCGAGUGGCGAACGGGUGAGUAAAGUAUCGGAACGUGCCCAGUCGUGGGGGAUCACGUAGCGAAAGUUACGCUAAUACCGCAUACGAUCUAUGGAUGAAAGCGGGGGAGCGCAAGACCUCGCGCGAUUGGAGCGGCCGAUAUCAGAUUAGGUAGUUGGUGGGGUAAAGUCUCACCAAGCCGACGAUCUGUAGCUGGUCUGAGAGGAUGACCAGCCACACUGGAACUGAGACACGGUCCAGACUCCUACGGGAGGCAGCAGUGGGGAAUAUUGCACAAUGGGCGCAAGCCUGAUGCAGCCAUGCCGCGUGUAUGAAGAAGGCCUUCGGGUUGUAAAGUACUUUCAGCGGGGAGGAAGGCGAUGUGGUUAAUAACCGCGUCGAUUGACGUUACCCGCAGAAGAAGCACCGGCUAACUCCGUGCCAGCCGCCGCAGUAA